UCCCUCUCCUCUCCAGUCCCGUUCCUAAGGGCCGCCUGGUGGAGGGCUCGGAGUUCCUGAAUGAGCAGGACUCCGCCAAGGUGGGCUUAGUCUCCGGUCUGAACGGUAAAUCCAACCCGUGGAGCUUCGAGGAGCUCAACGACCUCAACGUCCACUCCAAGACUCGGCCCCUGAUCCAGGCGGAGGACUGUAAGCAGGUCCUGAUCAGCUGUGACGGGAGCUCGGACGGGACCAGGGUGGCCUUCGAGGACAAGGGGACCCCCGUCAACCCCCUGCAUUCCUCUAACCAACCAAUAGAAGCCCUGUCAGAGAUUUGAUGCUGCCGCCAUCGCUGAGACGCCUCUCUCUGUUGCACUCGUAAAGUCCCUGUCCAGCUGAGCUCCUUCAAAAAAAAAAGUUCCAAACGGCUUCCUCCUCUCUCUCUCCUCCUCCUCUUCCAGAGCGAGGAGCACAAGGAGAAGCGGAAAGACCACCCCAAGUGCUACAUUUGCACCCCACAUUAUGAGGAAACAAAUAUAUUCAAAUGAUAUAUAUAUAUUCAAAGAAAACAACGUUAUGCUUCAGGGAAAUUCCAUAUAUUCCUUCAACGUGCUCGCUUCAGGUGUCUUUCCUCUUCCUCUUGUGUUUAGUUCUCAAAGGUUUUUUUUAUGUUGUGUCUAAAUUUGAUGUUUUUUUUAAGAGUUUUGUCUUUGUCAGGGGUGCAUUUGUUGUAAUUUAUUAAUUUUGGCUUUGUUGUUAUUGUAAUUAUUACCUAUGUUUAGUCUUGUUGUUCUUUUCUCUUGUGUGAGAAUAUUCCAGGACACAUGCACACUCGGCUGCGUGAACUGAACAGAGUGACUUAAAGGAGGAAAGGCUCCAACGUUCUGUUCUGUCGGGGGUUUGGUGGGGAAAGCGUCCCAGGUUUCACGUGUGAUUCGGCUAAAUUUACUUGACCGGCUGCUCUUUGCAGGAUCCAAUAUGGCCUUAAUAUUUCCUCAACUACUAAUUUUGAAUUGUGAAUAUACUAAAUUGCUUGCGCUGAAGCUCAUUCAUGCACAGUUAACUCUGUCACGUGCUUACACUUGAAAGUGUUCAUACUUCAUUUUGCCCCAUUGCCCUGUCUCCCGGUGUGUUUCCUUAUUUGGCCACUAGGCGGCGCCUGGAGCUCCAUCUGUUACAUUUGAAGCUGAAUAGUGUUGAGGUUCACUCACAGCACUGUAGUGAAUUUGGUUGUUUGUUCAGUGAAGUUUCUGCAGUUUGUUUCUCAUUUAGGCUUCGUUAAGGUUUUGUUAAUUUUUACAUAUGUACAUAGAAUUUAUGUUUACGAGCGACAUCAUUGUACAUCAGAUAUGAGUUGCAUCACAUUGUAGUCUCAUCUCCUGCUUGAAUACCCAUAACUGCAACAUACUAUCUUAGCAGUGGAAGUCCAUUAGUUUCAUUCAUGGCUACCUCUGAGCUUCUUCAGGUGGUUUGUGUUCGUUACUGAAUUGAACCUUGAAUAUUUGCCUGAAACUACAAAUCAGGUUUUUCAAUGAUCUGGUUCUAACUUGAGCUUUUCCAACACAUCCACCCACGGUGAGUCUUCUUCACCAUUUACAUUUAUUUCUCCUUUUUCAACCAACUUUUUGAAAUUCCCAAAACACCAGCUGCUACAUCUGACACAAUGCAUUUCAAUUCUUUUUUAUAAUAUAAUUUGGCCGUUUGUUUAUAUAUAAAAAUACAUUUCUACAUAUAUUUAAGUGUUAUUGUGUUGUGUAUAUAAUCAGUAUUAGGCAGAUGGAGCCAUGUGUAGGAUGAGGUGGCGUCGGGAUGUGGAUAAUUGAAGUCUCUGUUUGUGUGCUUUACGUUUCUGUUGGACUCGUGCCCUGUGACGGGAUGUCAGUUUACGUUUGGGCAGCCUGGAUAAACGUACAUAAAGCCCGCUUCCACAUGAGCUCUGGAAAAAACAAGGGGCCAAGUAGGGACCCACUAUAUUUUCCUUAAAAUAUAGCGUUUGUUUAUGUGUGUAUGUGUUAGCGCUUUAAGCCCCAACUCUGAUUCUGAACUUUGCCUCACGGAGACUAAACACAUUUUGAUGGUCAGUUGUUACAGCCCUUAGCGGCAUGUCUGACCCAGGAUCAGUCGUGGCCCGGCCUCUUCAUGAUACUUUUAAUGUCAUCACAAUGUGUUUUAUAUGAUGUUAAAGGACGUGGGGAUGGAUAGUUCUAGUGUAGGCAUAUCAGCUCAGGUCUUAACUAAUCCUUGUAGUAGCAGAACAUGACGUGGGUCAGACAUGUUUUCUGUCUCUUCUGGAUUGUUCAUGAACUGUAAUGAAAUCUUGAAAGUCCCUAUGCUUGAACAGUCCAAGCACGAGGUUUGGAGGACCUUUUAUCGUUGCCUUGUUCUCUGCUGGCUAACUCAAAUCUCUUUGUACAUAAGGACUAUGGGCUUUAGAUCUUAGCUUUGAUUAAUAAGCUCAAAGAAUGUAACGGACUCCAUAAACCGUCCUUCAUCAUUUACCAUGUCUCUCAGAGCUUUUUGGCUUUCAUCUAUUACUCGUUUAAAAAAACACGAGACUCUUUGCACUGUCACAAAUGACUGGCUAUGUUUAGAGAAUGGUAACUGAGGAGUAGCUUUACUGUUCAGACUCGUAGGAGAUAUUCUGGAAGAAAAGAGAACGUCAUUUGUGGAUUCCCAGAUGUUUUAGAAGUCUCAUCUCCAAACCUUUCCUACCCCUCUAGUCCCAUGUAGCAUCUGUCGGGGGGGGGGGGGGCUGUUGCAGCUGCUUCUUAAACACAUAUUUCGUCUACUCCAGGUCCUGCUGCAUCUCUGAGGGCUCGAGUACAGAGCCGACUGCUUUAAGUCCUCAACGUUUUCUUUAACAAUAGGAUAGAACGGUGCCUUAGAUUGAGAUUUAGUAUUUUUAUUGUAUCACAGUUAACUAAGAAAGCUUGCCCUUACCUCGGCCUCGACAAUCAGUCUCCCCACCCAGGGCGACUUUGUGAAUAUGAAUAUUUCUCUGAAAGAUUUACUAACAAAGCCCUGUCCAAGUAAGAUUUGUACUGUAAAUAUAUCUAAAAGUGUACUGAGAUGAUACAAACUGUUAAAACAAAUAAAGUCUUGCAAAAAUA